rnacentral:rRNA from 1 species
CAAUAGCGUAUAUUUAAGUUGUUGCAGUUAAAAAGCUCGUAGUUGGAUUUCGGUUAAGAGCGACCGGUCCGCCGUUUGGUGUGCACUGGUUGGUUUUAACUUCCUGUAGAGGACGUGCUCUGGGUUUAACGACCUGGACUCGGAGUCUACGUGGUUACUUUGAAAAAAUUAGAGUGUUCAAAGCGGGCUUACGCUUGAAUAUUUCAGCAUGGAAUAACACUAUAGGACUCCUGUCCUAUUUCGUUGGUCUCGGGACGGGAGUAAUGAUUAAGAGGAACAGUUGGGGGCAUUCGUAUUUCAUUGUCAGAGGUGAAAUUCUUGGAUUUAUGAAAGACGAACUUCUGCGAAAGCAUUUGCCAAGGAUGUUUNCAUUA